rnacentral:rRNA from 1 species
UACGUAGGGGGCAAGCGUUGUCCGGAUUUAUUGGGCGUAAAGAGCGUGUAGGCGGCUAGGUAGGUCCGUUGUGAAAACUCGAGGCUCAACCUCGAGACGUCGAUGGAAACCAUCUGGCUAGAGUCCGGAAGAGGAGAGUGGAAUUCCUGAUGUAGCGGUGAAAUGCGCAGAUAUCAGGAAGAACACCCGUGGCGAAGGCGGCUCUCUGGUACGUGACUGACGCUGAGACGCGAAAGCGUGGGGAGCGAACAGG